rnacentral:snRNA from 1 species
UCCACCAGGAACCAUGGCAGA